rnacentral:rRNA from 1 species
UAACCAGGAGGAAGGUGGGGAUGACGUCAAAUCAUCAUGCCCCUUAUGUGUAGGGCUACACACGUGCUACAAUGGCUGGUACAGAGAGAUGCAAUACCGCGAGGUGGAGCCAAACUUAAAAACCAGUCUCAGUUCGGAUUGUAGGCUGAAACUCGCCUACAUGAAGCUGGAGUUACUAGUAAUCGCGAAUCAGAAUGUCGCGGUGAAUACGUUCCCGGGUCUUGUACACACCGCCCGUCACACCAUGAGAGUUGGCAAUACCCGAAGUCCGUGAGCUAACCGCAAGGAGGCAGCGGCCGAAGGUAGGGUCAGCGAUUGGGGUGAAGUCGUAACAAGGUAGCCGUAGGAGAACCUGCGGCUGGAUCACCUCCUUUCUAAGGAA